UACGUAGGGACCAAGCGUUGUUCGGAUCUACUGGGCGUAAAGGGCGCGUAGGCGGCAAUUCAAGUCAUCUGUGAAAUCUCCGGGCUUAACCCGGAACGGUCAGAUGAUACUGCUUUGCUAGAGUGCAGAAGGGGCAAUCGGAAUUCUCGGUGUAGCGGUGAAAUGCGUAGAUAUCGAGAGGAACACCUGAGGUGAAGGCGGUUAGCUGGGCAGUUGCUGACACUGAUGCGCGACAGCGUGGGGAGCAAACAGG
rnacentral:rRNA from 1 species